GGGGAUAUAGCUCAGUGGUAGCGCUGCUUACCUAGCAUGCACAAGCCCUGGAUUCAAACCCCAGUAUCACCA
rnacentral:tRNA from 1 species